UCUUUUUGUCACUUUUAAACAGGGCACCGAGCAUCAUCAGUGCCUGCAGACAAGUGUGAGGCAGAAAAGUUUAGGCUUUCAGGCCUUUUUCAUUCCAGCAGGAUCAGUACUUGCUGUAAGGAAGGAGGUUAGAAAAAUAGAGCAAAGUGUUUAUGAAAAUUGUUCAGAAUGCAAAACAAAUUAUUUCUGUUAAUGCAUAGGUAAAGGUGAACUUUACUGUAAGGCACUUGCAACUGUUAAAAAAAACUUUUAACCAUUAGACUUUAUGGACUUCAUUAGGAAAAGAUAAUUGAAAUGUUGUAAACUUACUAUUACAAUGCUGAAACAUACCAGGACUUAAGAAAGUGGAAUUUAAGAGAUUCCACUUUGAAUUUAUUUUUUUUUUCAACAAAGUGAAAUAUUUUCUGGCUCUAACUGCAAACUUUAUUCUGAACACAGGCUUAAAACUUUAAGGAACAAGCUCGCUGAGUUGCUGCCAUCCUUUGUGACCAUGCUACUCUGCACCUCAAUGGUGGGCACACAGCACAUGGGGUUUGGAUGAAUAGGCCAGGCCUCACCAAAGACCACAUCAUUUGGAUAAAGACGGAGUCCCACAGAAAGAGAGAACGCCUAACAGAGCGAAGCAGAUAAAGAGAAAAUGUUGCAUUCGGCAAAUCAGAUUAGAGCGAGUCAUGGUUUUACUUUUUAAUUCUCAAGCAUCCCGUUACUCCACCCUCACUUGAGCUAAGUUGGGGAAAUUUUCUAUCCCUGUUGCUUAUGUGCUUGAUAAUCAGGUGCACAACUGCUGUGCUGAGUUAUCAUCUCAGGCUUUUGUCCUCUUUGAUCCGUGUGACCGUUGGGGGGGACCCACUCCUUCUUUUGUGCAAGGUCACAGCGCUGGCUCCUUUAGGACGGGCCUGCCCCCGGGUGGUGACCCCUUCGUUUAUCAUGGUGUCACCGGCUCAGAAUACAAGCAUGAGUUAGCGCUUUUUCCCUUUCUCUUUCUCAGGCUUAUUCUUGGUUAUUUCUUUUUUCAGGUCUUUCUUUUUUUUCACCCACAAUCGCUGAUUGUGGGUGAGGGCCACGGACAAACACUGCUUGAACCUUUCUUCUCAGCAAGUGGACAAACUGAUAUUUUGGAUCCUCUCCCAGGCCUUGGUGGCUUGAAACUUAAAUCACUAAAUCAGCUCUGCACCAACUGCCACACAACCAGGCGAUGCACCUGCCUCUUCAGGAAUGAGUUGUGGAUGGACAUCACGCCCCUGACCUCCGAACAUCAGCGAGGGACAGACCGCCAUGGAUGGAAUCAAACUCAGCGGCUCUGUGGGUGGAAAAGUGAGGCGCAGAAAGACAAACAGAUAGAGGGAGAGUGCUAUUGAACGAGGCAGAGAGUGUGAGUUUAUGUAAAUCUAAAGCCUUCAAGAAACCCAUCUGACAUUUUUGCAAGACAUCCUGAAGGUUUUCUUAAUAAGACCGAUGCAAUUUUAAGAUUUGAUGCUCUAGAAGCUUUUCAUCAAAGUUUCUUAAACUUAGUUUUAAUAGAAUAUUGCACUUAUGUUGAGAAAAGCUAACAAUAUUUCCUGGCAACAAGUACAGCAAGUGAAGAGGAAGUCACCUGAUUUGCCUAAAUGUAAUCCAACUUAAACAUCACCUUUGUAUCUAUGCUAAGCUCAUAUUUUUUUCCAAAAUGAAAAGUCUUUAGAAAGCAUUAAUGUUUCUCAUUACAAAAGAUGAAUUCCAGCUUGCAUCAGUUGAGAGUGAAAAUUAACUCCAAUUAAUUGAAUAUCUGCUCACUUUAAUUGCUUCUUUCCCACAGGUGGCAUGUCUAAUUGUUCCUACUCAUCUUGCUCUGCAGACCAGGAGACUCCCCAUGUUGGAAACAAGGUUAAAGUCUGUCUGAGGUGCAGCAAGAAGCUGAAUAGUUGAAUGUGUCCGGCUCACACUUCACUUCAGCACUGAAGUCUAAAGCAGGUCUUGCUAAAUUUGCACUGGAAAAGGUAAAGUGACAGAAAAGGAGAAUGAAUGGGGAUUGGGGUUCUGUGUGUGUGAGUGUGUGCGGACUCACCCUCUCUGUGUUUGCUCCUGUGAAUUUGCUUCUGUGUGUGUUUUCCUGUGUUUGACAAAGUUCAGGGGGGAGGCAGACCUGGAGAAAGAAAAGGGAAAAUGAGAGCAAGUGAAGGAUUUGAAUGUGGUGCAGAAAGAGUGGGGGGAGAGGCAGAUUUUUGGAGG